rnacentral:rRNA from 1 species
AUUGAACGCUGGCGGCAUGCUUUACACAUGCAAGUCGAACGGUAACGCGGGGGCAACCCUGGCGACGAGUGGCGAACGGGUGAGUAAUACAUCGGAACAUGUCCUGGAGUGGGGGAUAGCUCGGCGAAAGCCGGAUUAAUACCGCAUACGCUCUGAGGAGGAAAGCGGGGGACCCGUAAGGGCCUCGCGCUGCAGGAGUGGCCGAUGUCGGAUUAGCUAGUUGGUGAGGUAAAGGCUCACCAAGGCGACGAUCCGUAGCUGGUCUGAGAGGAUGAUCAGCCACACUGGGACUGAGACACGGCCCAGACUCCUACGGGAGGCAG